GCAAACUUGGUCAUUUAGAGGAAGUAAAAGUCGUAACAAGGUUUCCGUAGGUGAACCUGCGGAAGGAUCAUUAUUGAAUAAAUCUGGUCGGUUGUAGCUGGCUCUUCGGAGCAUGUGCACGCUGGUCACCUUUAUUUUUCCACCUGUGAACCCACUGUAGUCCUGGAUACCUCUCGCUGCAAAGCGGAUGCGUGGUUUGGCGUGCUGCUCGCAAGAGCGGUCGGCUUACUGCGAAUUUCCAGGUCUAUGAUUUUAUACAAACCCCAAACGCAUGUAAUAGAAUGUAAUCAUUAGGCCUUGUGCCUAUAAACCUAUACAACUUUCAGCAACGGAUCUCUUGGCUCUCGCAUCGAUGAAGAACGCAGC
rnacentral:misc_RNA from 1 species